UUUAUGUGUGCGCACGGUUUAUAAGCAGGUACAGCUCGCGCAUUUAGGGUUAUAGAGGUGUAUAAUUUUCUUACCAUUCCACGAUUUAAAUGCACAUGUAUAUCGUUAUUGCAGGCGGGCGUAUUUCAUAAAUCUAUGAAAAAUAACGCACCUCUUCACAGAAAAGGCAUCAUUCGGUUUGAGUUGUUCGACGGAAUCGGUUUGUGUUCGUAGCCAUAAUAAUAUACACGUAAACGGACCGCUCGCGACUUUAACUCCGCACACACUAUCUACUGUUGUUGCCGUAGCAGCUACAGCACCAGCAGACGGAUACACCGCGACCGUGCGAUCCGUUGGAUAGAGGGUUGCAUUGAUGAUAAUAAUAAUAAAAAAAAAAAAAUAUUUUUACGCGCGUGUUUGUGUAUAUCGAACAAUAGAUUUUUGUCACGGGCGACAAGAGUGCGUAAUGCAUCUGCACAAAAAUGGCGUCGUAUAUAUUAUAUUAACAAUAAUAAUAUUUUAUACCUACGGUUUACGAACAGUUUGCUCAGUUUGCGAGUGCAUGUGCGGGUGUCAAUAUCAGUUCAAACCUAGGAAAGAACGGAACAUAACGCUGGCGAUGACGAUCUACUUAAAAUCUGCGGUGUCCUACAUAACAUUUAUGUGCAUUACGCACGCAUCGUGGUAGUGCGUCAAAAGGGAUUCCGGAGGACUAUUUGGACCACGCGUGAGAAGGAUGCGCAAAAACAUACACAGCGAAGAUCGAGAACGCGACGCUCGCCGGGACUCGCCGCAGCCAGCAAUAUGAUGCACACGGGGAACGAGGGUCGGCGGGACCUGGCAGCCGGAUCCAAUAAUACAGCCAUUAUUUACGACCAAUAGCUCAAUUCCUCAAUUUCGGGAUCCCGCAGGAGCGGCUUACACGGUUGCACGCACACGUCCCGGGGCCGGCAGGGCCGCCCGCGCCGGGGGACUAGUAAACUAUACCGUUCGCACACUCGUCCUGGUGCAUUGUUGCAGCGUUGCAGCAGCGAGCCGGGAGACAGGAAGAUGGUUGUAAUCUUCCGGUCCCAUAAAUCCGGUGCGCACAUUAAUACCGGUUACUAUUUAUAUAUACAUAAUAUCAUACAUAUACUACUAUAUAGGUAUAUUAUAGUUGUAUAUUAUUCGAUAUAAUAUACAUACCGUAACAUUCAACGUAUAUAGCAACAGCAGCUUCCUAUAUGGCUUUUAGUCAUAUGGUCGCGUGCAUCAGUUUUGCUUGUAUGUAUAUAUUUUUUGUAUGUAUAUAUAUAUUAUGUAUGCAUUUUUUUCUUUCAAAAUAAAAAAACACGCAAUCGUCGAAAC